GAUGAACGCUGGCGGCGUGCCUAAUACAUGCAAGUAGAACGCUGAAGGAGGAGCUUGCUCUUCUGGAUGAGUUGCGAACGGGUGAGUAACGCGUAGGUAACCUGCCUGGUAGCGGGGGAUAACUAUUGGAAACGAUAGCUAAUACCGCAUGACAACAGUUAUUGCAUGAUAACUGUUUAAAAGGGGCAACUGCUCCACUACCAGAUGGACCUGCGUUGUAUUAGCUAGUUGGUGAGGUAACGGCUCACCAAGGCGACGAUACAUAGCCGACCUGAGAGGGUGAUCGGCCACACUGGGACUGAGACAAGGCCCAGACUCCUACGGGAGGCAGCAGUAGGGAAUCUUCGGCAAUGGACGGAAGGCUGACCGAGCAACGCCGCGUGAGUGAAGAAGGUUUUCGGAUCGUAAAGCUCUGUUGUAAGAGAAGAACGAGUGUGAGAGUGGAAAGUUCACACUGUGACGGUAUCUUACCAGAAAGGGACGGCUAACUACGUG
rnacentral:rRNA from 1 species